AUCCAUCUGAAGAGUCCAGAACAGAACGAAACGAGCGUCCUGGAU
rnacentral:hammerhead_ribozyme from 1 species